rnacentral:rRNA from 1 species
UUGGGGGGAUUCUACACUGCAGUCGAACGGAGUUCUUCUUCGCUGUGAGAGACGCGUCUAAUGUGCGCAUGUGUUAUCUAACCUUUAUCUGGGGAAAACCCUUUCGAAAGUAAGAUUAUUACGUGUAGUAUAAUGCUUGCUAUCAAUUAUUAUUGAAAACUCUGGUGGAUAGAGGUGGGGAUGUGCGAUAUUAGAGAGUUGGUGAGGUAGCUCCUCACAAGAUCUGUGAUCUUUAGGGGUGUGAGAGGGAGAUCCCCCACUCUGACUCUGAGACAGGCAACAAAUCUUAAAAAGGGGCCGCAGUGGGUUUUUUGAAUGGGGGUGAGAGCCUGAUCCAGUGAUGCCGCGAGAACGAGACCUUCCUAUGGUUUGAAUUUUUUUUUAGGAAAGAAACGGUGUAGUCUCGAGUAUCCCGCUGUAGUGACUCUACGAAGAAUAAACACCGUCUAUCUAUGUGGGACCAGCCGCGGAAAUACGGGGGGGUGGAAGUAUUAUUCGUAAAUACUGGGCGUAAAGCCCGCGCGGGGGGUUUUUGUGACACUGCCGGGAUCCCAUCGCGCUCACUCUGAAUUUUGCGUGAUACGCUGCAUGGCUAGAAACUUGCAAAAGGGGGGUAGUAAUUUUUCGUAGCGGUGAAAUGCGUAGA